UACGUAGGUGACCAGCGUUGUUCGGAAUUACUGGGCGUAAAGCGAGUGUAGGCGGUCUGAAAAGUCGGGUGUGAAAGCCCCGGGCUCAACCCGGGAAGUGCACUCGAAACUGCCAGGCUAGAGUAUCGGAGAGGUUGGUGGAAUUCUCGGUGUAGAGGUGAAAUUCGUAGAUAUCGAGAGGAACACCGGUGGCGAAGGCGGCCAACUGGACGAAUACUGACGCUGAGACUCGAAAGCGUGGGGAGCAAACAGG
rnacentral:rRNA from 1 species